rnacentral:rRNA from 2 species
GCGCGCGCAGGCGGUCUCUCAAGUCUGAUGUGAAAUCCCACGGCUCAACCGGGGAGGGUCAUUGGAAACUUGGGGAGACUAUGAGUCGCUGAAGAGGAGAGCGGAAUUCCACGUGUAGCGGUGAAAUGCGUAGAGAUGUGGAGGAACACCAGUGGCGAAGGCGGCUCUCUGGUCUGUAACUGACGCUGAGGCGCGAAAGCGUGGGGAGCGAACAGGAUUAGAUACCCUGGUAGUCCACGCCGUAAACGAUGACUGCUAGGUGUUAGAGGGUUUCCGCCCUUUAUUGCUGCACCAAACGCAUUAAUCACUCCGCCUGGGGAGUACGGUCGCAAGACUGAAACUCAAAGGAAUUGACGGGGACCCGCACAAGCGGUGGAGCAUGUGGUUUAAUUCAAAGCAACGCGAAAAACCUUACCACGUCUUGACAUCCUCUGCUACUUCUAAAGAUAUAAGGUUCCCUUCGGAGACAUAGUGACAGGUGGUGCAU